CCAGGCCCCGCCUCCUGUCAGCGCUGACGCCAAUCAGCUCCCGGCAGCGUUUGGAGAGGCUGGGACCUCGGGGGAGGGGACGCGACCAGAGGCCGAGGGCGGGAGUUAGUGACACUCACUGGAGUCGCAGGCCGCCGGGGCAGCAACUGGGAAUUAGAGACUAUCCGAACAGGGUAGAGGAGAAGGAGCGACAGAGAAGGUCAGGCAGAUCUGCAGGUGACAUUCUUUUCCAACUCCACUAGUAUGGAAGGGGACACUGGGCAGUCCUUCCGAGGAAAGAGACUCCGUACUCUCCAGAUCCCACCUUCCCUCCCUUGCGAGACAUCUGUGGCCCCGCAUAGUUAGUUUUGAAUUUAAGGCAGUGCUUUGCAGAGUUCUUUUUCGAUAAACGCAUUUUUUUUUGACAGGGAUUUCCAUGGCAGGACGCUUCAGUUUAAGUGGUAGAAGAAUGCAAAAUCAUUUCCCCCCCCCCUCACUUUUAGCAUAACUAUGAUCAAUUCCAUGCAGGUAGUCAUCAGUUUUCUUUAAAACACUCUUCAGCUGCUCCUUGCUUCCCUUUUUCUUAAAAAGAUUUGAAGGAAGGAAAGAAAGAAUUUUUGAGAGAGAGAGAGUGUGUGUGUGUGCUUUUGACAAGGAAAUUGUUUUUUAUUAGCAUUUGAAGAAUCCCAUGGUAGUGGGCUGCUGGACUCCAGGAUAAAGGCCUACAUUGGCAGUGUGAUCCCCUUAGUGAUGGAGCCACCUAACAAAGGUUUGUUGUACUCAAAGUGCACCAGGCACAGGAAUAAAAGCAUUUUCUAAAAGAAUUCAUCUUGGGGACCCACUCGUCUCCGUUAUGUAAUCAAAGGCCAAACAAAAACAUAAGGCUUUGAAAAUGAUUGGAAGCCGGGUACCACGUUGUAACCUGCCUUUUGACGUGGUUUACAUGUUCAGGAACCAAAAGUUGCUUUGGGCACCAGUGAGAAUUACAGGUCCUCUGUCCAAUAGACUACAAGGAACUGGAUUGUUGAUGGAGCCUGCCCUGUUGAUCCUUUAGAUGAUCGUGGCCUGGCCAUUGUCUUGGCAGCAGCCUUCUAAAAAUUUUCCCGGUUGCCAUAUCCUAAGCUGAUUUCCUCUGCCAUGCCCUUCCACCAUGAUGUUCUGCAUCAUCUGGGACCCAGAGCAAUCGAGUCAGCCGAUCGUGAACUGAACCUCUGAAACUGUGAAACUCAAAUCAGUUUUUCGCCUCUAAAUUUUUCUUGUCAUGUUUUUUGUUCACAGUGAUGAAAAAGCUAACUAAAACAAUUAAUGAUACAGGGAUGAUGUUGUUAUUUGCCAUUGUUUUCUUUCAAUUCUAAUCAAACAGAAGUAAUAUAUCCUUUAUUUAUAAAUAAUAUUGUUUAAUGCUGGUUUUCAAUAAACUAAAUUUUAAUUUUUUUAAUUUAAAUGUGAGGAUUAUCCCUUGGAAAAGAGAGAGUACAAUGUUAAAAUAAUUUUAUUUUCUUUUAUUUAGGUGUCAGUUUCUCCAAUUUCAAGAAAUAUUUUCUCACACCAGUUUAUAGGGUGAGGUGACAAGUGAAUAAACUUUCAUAGAUAAACCAUAAUGUAAAAUUCAUUUAUGUAUUUAUUUUAAAGACCAUAAUAUACAUAGAAACUUUAUUGCUAUUCACAAUUGAAGGAAUACUUAUAUGUAAAUAACAUGGAAGGAGGGUUGGGCAAGGUAAAAGUUGAUAUAUGUAGAUAAGAAUUUGGUAUUGGGUUUUUAUGAAAAGAAGAGCAAAAGAAAAGUAAUUAUCUGUGAAUAAGAUACAACUUUUAAAAAACCCACUCUCAUGAUUUUAGGUUUUUAUUUUCCCUUGGUGCCUAUCUAUUUUGCUAUUUGAAGUCAGUAAUGAAGGUUUAAAAUCAUAUAUUUUUUUCAUACUCUAAAAGAAUACUAUUAUUUUUCCUUUAACUCAAAAUAACUGACUCUAAAUUCUUAUUCAACAAGACCUGUUUCAUUAAUCUUUACAUUUCAGUUGAGAACAACAUCCAAUUUAUCUAUAUUAGGGUUUUUACUGCUUAAAAAUGAUUAAAUGAAAAGAGUUACUACUCCAAAAUCUAGUUUAGUUACAAUUAUUAUUUUUACUUGCUUAUAUUAAAUUUAAAGGAAACCCCAAUUUUAUCUAGCAGACCUAUACUCUAAUCUUGGUUGAACAGGUAAAAAUAUUGAAAUGAAACUUACUUUCUUGUAUUUCAUUUCCUUUUGUUUAGUUGUAAAGCACACUUCAUUCUGCAUUUUUGAGCUACAGUCAUUGAGUCAACUAUCCCCAAAGUCUUCCUAAUAUUCUCUUUCUCCAUUAACACUAAAAUAUGAUUUUUUUUCAAGGAGAGGACCAUGUCUAUAUCAUUUUGGUUUGCCUAUUUGUGAGGAAGCAAGUAAGUUUCAUCUCUGUGUCAACUGAAAAUACAUUGCUAGUGACUGUGUGGCAUAAUGUAUUGAGAAACAAUCUGAGGUUGUGUUUGACAUCAGUGGGAAAGAUUGUUUUACUUGAUUAGCAAUACCUGUCAUGGGCAUGGGAGUAAAGAAUAGCUCUAUAUCUCUCUGCUGUCCCUGCCUUUGUGUUUGAGGAGGUACCUAUAACAGUUUGGCAUACAAUAAAUGUUUGCAAAAUAGAUGAGCAAACUUCAAUUAUAAUUGGACAAUCCUCCUGUGCAGUGAGAAUACUCUGAGGUUCCUUUUCAACCUAUCCUUCCACCUUUUCAUGCCACUCAGUAUAGAAACUACUUUUUGGAUUGGUCAGAUAAAAUAGUUUGUGAGGCUCAUUCAAAUGAACUUUCAAAGUUGUCAAUCUAUACUAUACAGUCCUCAUACAAAUAACUUAUUUAUCCUUCAAUUCUAUUUUGAUAUAUAUAUAUAUCAAAUAGUUUGUGACCACUCCUUUGAAUAUGCCCUUUAUGUUUCAUCUUAAAUUGUAUAAUCUCUUAUAAUUAAAGUAGUUGUUAUUCACUUCUUUUUUUUACAGUACCAAAUAGAGCAUUUAGAAAAACAACAAAUAGUUUGUUGAAAAUAACAACAAAAUUCUUGAUAUAAAUGCCUGAUAAUAAUUUAAGAAUACUGUUCUUUUUGCAAAUUAAUAGCACUUGAAUAUUUAGUUCAACAUAUGAAGAGGGCUGUGUUCUUUCUUUACUUUCUAAGGCUUGUGCAAAAUGAAAAUCAUACAAUCUACAUUAUAAAUUGUAUUAAGAUGAGACACAUAUAUGGCUUAGCAUAAACUCAGUGCCUAGACAAUAAUGGAUACUCAAUAAACGCUAUGUGCUCUUAGGAUUUGUGCUAACCCUUGUCUGUAUCUCAAAUAUGUUUUUCCCCUCACUGCUCUGCCUGUGAAAAUGUCACUUAUUGCUCUAUUAAAUCUUGAGUAUUUUUUUUGUAGUAAGGGCAGGGUUAACAUGAGUAUUUGAAAGGUGCCAAUAAAUCUACACCAACUUUUCCCAACCAAGUGUUUUACAGGGGCUGAGGACAAGUAGCAAAAGUGAUUGAUUGGAAUUUCACAUGUUUUCUUCUGACCAAAGCCUUUAUGUAUCCAGGUAUGUGAACAUGGUAUAGUUUUCAAGCAGGGGCGGAGGGAAGCCUUUAAGGUAUGAUUACCAGGAAAAUUAAAAAAAAAAUCCCCAAAUCCAACAUGGUCCUCCAAUUAAUUGAGCAUUUACCUUUAAAUGCAUAUAAGCAUGUGCGAUUAAUCGGUUUUGUUUUCUCAUUUAAAAUUGCAGUUUAUAAGCUGCUUGAAGGAAAAUAAAUUAUUUAUAACUCCAUAGUGCUUACUCUGAUGGUAUCUACACAAUGAAAUUUAGUCAAUAUUUUGUAAAGGAAUAUUGCAAAUCAUUCACCAAAUUUUGCAUUUCUUUUUCAUUAUAUUGGUUUGUUACUGGGAUACGUCUGCAUGCUGAGGACUAAAUUUCUCAUAUUCUUUUGCAACUAGGUGGGGCCAUGUGACUGUUUCACUACAGAAUGUUGGCAGAAAUGAUUCUACAACCUCAGGGUCAGGAUACUACAGGAAGAGAGUUGUGU